rnacentral:misc_RNA from 1 species
GAUGAAGAACGCAGCGAAAUGCGAUAAGUAAUGUGAAUUGCAGAGUUCAGUGAAUCAUCGAGUCUUUGAACGCACAUUGCGCCCCCUGGCAUUCCGGGGGGCAUGCCUGUCCGAGCGUCAUUGCUGCCCUUCAAGCCCGGCUUGUGUGUUGGGUCGUCGUCCCCCCCGGGGGACGGGCCCGAAAGGCAGCGGCGGCACCGCGUCCGGUCCUCGAGCGUAUGGGGCUUUGUCACCCGCUCGAUUAGGGCCGGCCGGGCGCCAGCCGGCGUCUCCAACCUUCUAUUUUACCAGGUUGACCUCGGAUCAGGUAGGGAUACCCGCUGAACUUAAGCAUAUCAAUAAGCGGAGGA